UGGAUCAGGAUCAGAGAGCAGGAAAGAGAAAGGUUCACGGCCCAGGGCAAGUGCUGUGAAUGGCACAGGCACAGACUUUAUCACGUGGCUGGGCUGAUGGGUCAGAGUCCCAAGGACUGGAAGGCAGUCACCAAGUCCACUCAGUGCUCACUCACUCAGCUGAAGUCCAGGAGUGGAAAGCUUCCUUAUAAACCCUACUUCAUGCCUUGGUGAAAACUGUCAACUGUCAAUGCCUCCUGAGACAACAGCAUGCCAGAAGUUCCUUCCUUCAUUCUGAUUUUGGGUGAAUGUCUUCCCUGUGAUUUUCUAGGCUUUCCUCAAUCUGUUUCUGGACAGAGACUGGUUGAAGCUCUUCAGAGUCCUAUCUGGAAGGGAUCGAACUCGGGUCCUUGCAUUUGCAAGGCAGGCGGCGAAACCACUGAGCUAAAUCUCUGGCCAUGACUUUCAAUUUAUGAUAUCAUGACCACAAAGACUGCUCAGGAGGAAGAGAGGCUCCAAAUAAGACAUCAUUUAAUGUGCUGGGAAGCUCUCACUGUCAGAGGGACUGUGCUCAGGAGGAAAGGACGGCUUGGUUCUUAAAACAUCACAAGGUUGGCUGGAGCUAAACAGGUGAAGCAGAAAGAAACAUGACCCCACCGUCCCGGACACAGUGGCGUUAGGAGCAGAGGAGAAGCACACUGUUAAAGAGGACAGUGGAAAGGGAGGCACAGGGCAGCCUGCGGGGCAGUGGGGUCUAAGGGGACAGAAAACCAGGCAGAGUUGGCAUCUGGGUCAGGGGUCCACAGCUUGCUUUUGCAAAGGCCAGACAAUAAAUGUCCCAGGCUUUGUGCAUGGUGAGGUUCUGUUCUACUCAGCUCUGCCAGAGAGCAGCAAACAAAUGUGUGUGGAUGUGCCCCAGUGGACGUGUAGGGAACACUGAAAUGUGAACUGCACACAAUUCCCCUAUGGCCUACUGGAUCCUUCUUCUUAACCAUGUGAAAAUGUAAAAAUCAUGCUUAGCUCACAGGCCAUACAAAAACAGGUGCGAGGAGUGUAGGGUGCAGUCGUGAACCUAAUUUUGAGCUUCCAGACAUGCUAUGGGUGAAAUUAACUCCUGUAUUAUAUUUAAAAAACUGAGUAUAUUUCUGCCAACUGACCAAAGUAAGUAGCAGUAGCAGUUAAUAUAGCCCGGGGUGGCCAGCAGGAGGAAGAUAAUUUCAAAAGUAAAUUUUCUUUUUGAUACCGAGGAUCCAACUCAGGACCUUGCGCUUGCCAGGCAGGUGCAGUGUCACUGAGCUAUAUCCCUGGCCCAAAAGUAAAUCAUUUAAUGAAAUACAACACAAUAGCUAGAUUAGUAAUGAGAUAUGUAACUAAUUUUUUCUUUCAGUUUUGAUUUAAACUGGACGUAUUUUGUGUUUUAUAAGAAAAACAGAAAGCUCAUUAAAUUGUCUAUCAUUAUUUAAAUAAACAGGGAGAAAAUUAAACUCAGGUGAGUAUGUCAGUGGCUUACCAUGACAAUUCUUAUCUACCCACAGCAGACACUGUUACUCUGCAUUUUUUAUUCAGCCUAAGAGGGACAAGUAGCUGAUCAGCUAAUAGAAUCCUUCAAUACAAAAAAUGAAGAGCGGUGCCCAUACACUGGAAACAUUUUAUUUAAACCUAAAACUAUAAUGCAAUCUCUAAAAUUUGUUUAAAGUGUCACAUAAAUGUACAAACACUUGAAAAGCAAGUAAAAUGCCAGCUCCAUCAUUUUACUGUUGUCUUGACUACCCAUAAUUUGACAUCUUUCUCAUGAGAUCUUCUCCUCAAACUUGCCAGGUAGAGAAUGAGGAAACAAGCUCAGAGAAGACAGGUAGUGUGCUCAGGCUACAGUGCUGAGUGAUGAGGAGGCAGGAAAGGGCUCUGCCUCUAACCCACACACCCUCUUCUCGCCUACUCUAUCUGCAACACUGCGAAGGAGGAAGAUGCACCUGCUUAUUAACGGCACAAAGCUAAACCCAGGUGAAAAGGACUGCUGUUUUCUUAAAAGGCUAACUUAGGGCUGAGGAUUUAGCUCAGUGGUGCUGCCACCUGCCUCUCAAGGGUAAGGUCCUGAGUUCGACCCCCAGUACCAAAAAAAAAAAAAGGCUAGCUUAAAUGCAAGCAUAAAUGACAAAUAUUAUGCGUUAAUAAGAUGACAAUCACUACCCUUUAGUCAGCAUUUACUAUGCCCUAGAACAGUACUAAUUGUGCAUAAUUCUAGUUUACUCCUCUCAAAAACAUGUGAGAUAAGUAGUAGUAUGCCUUAUUAGUAGAUGAAAUUCACAAAAGCUGGCAGGUGAAAGUCAAGGAUGGGAAAGACUGGGCCAGAACACUCUCCCCUAAUCCCUUUCUUAAUGCUACUCUACUUUGAGUGAGAUUGAGUGGGGUAAUGCUGAGAGGAAGUGGAACUUUUAUGAGGUAGAGACUAAUGGAAGGUGGCCCCAGCAUGGGGGAUGCUGCUCUAGAAGUGGAUGAAUACAGUUUUCUUGAGUCUCUGCUUAGUUUUCAUGAAAGUGGGCCAUCAUAGGAGCCAGCCUGGUCCUCCCAGUCUCUCUGGCUUCCUAUCCCUCCUGUUGUCUCUUCUACAUGUGUUCCCGCCCAGUUGUGAUGUUAUUCACCACGAGGCAUUCACCACAGGCAAGUAGUGCCACGUUCUUGGAGCUCCAGACCUGUGAGCUAAACAAAGUUCUUUUCUUUACAAACUACCUAUCCUCAAGUCUUUUGUCACAGCAACAGAAAACAGACUGAUACAGACACUGUCCUCAUCUUAGAGAAAGGAGGCUUUCAGCAAAUCUUUCUUGAAAGCUUACUACAUACAUUAGGUACUACAUUUGGUACUCCUUAACAUUCCUUUUCUCAUCUCUACAGUCCUAUUACUUAUGUAUACGCAUCAAUCAUUCUUUCUCUAGCAGGUGAGAAAACUGAGUUGACCAGAGUUAAAACAUGCCCAAGGUCGCAACAAAAGUGAUAGAGUCAGAUCAAGUGCAGAGCCCAUGGUCUAAUUCAUCUACCACAAGAAGGGCACUAAAAUGCAAACUACUAUUCCCACCUCCCUUUUUUCUUUUCAAUGAAAAGUGCUGAGCGCUUAUCAACAGGGCUUGGAAAAGAAUUCAUUCUUCUACAAUUGGCCCAGCUCCAACCAAGUGUUCAUAUUUUAUACUCUUAAAAUAUUUCUUCUGUAUUUCCUGUGGCCAGGGCUUGGCUGGGCAAUGGGGAUACAAAUGUGAAUGAGACCAUAGGGCAGCUGCCCUCAGAAAAUUCGAGGUCCAGCUCAAGAGACCUAAUCCCAUCAGAGGCAGCAUUGGUCCACAGAACAACUUCGCUGGGCUUCCAGGUGCUGGCAGGCUACCCCUGCCUGUGGGCUGCCUGUAUGAAACUUAAUCUUGGAGCUCCUUAUCCAGCUGGUGAAGGGAAGCCCUCGAAAGUUACAGAUGUUACCUCACAAGGACAAGAAACUACUUACACUGAGAUCUCUGUCUGUUGCUAAGCCGUGACUCAUCUGGCUUUUGGGUCACAGCCACAGUAACAUUUCCUUUUUAUUUUAUUCCUUAAAGAACAAAAGUGGAAGGGAAUGCUUGGAGACAAAGAAUAAGAGCAAGAUAAUAUAAUAUUUAGAACAAACACAUUCUUUUCUGAAAGGCCCCAGGCAAAAACUUCGUAUCUGCUUUAUCAGACCAUUGUUAAUUCAUUAUAGGAAAAGUCCAAACAGAAGAAGAAUUGAGAAUUUAUCUAAGAAGAAGAAUUUAUCUAAGAAAAAGAUAGGGAAGAGUAAGGGAGUGAAGAAACAGCAGAGAAGAGAAGGUGGGAGAAGGGUGGGAGAAAGGAAUAGAAAAUCAGAGGCAGGUAGCUAGCUAUAUGAUUGUGAGGAUUUAGGGUAGAAAUUAUCCCAUCUAGUGUGCAUGCAGAGCUGGAUUUCUUCAACAGCCACAACAUAAUCAUCCCAAAGUGCCAGGCACUGUACUGCGUUCUCAUCUAUAAUCCCCAUCUGAAGUAAUCCAGACACCCCUGGGAGCUGUGUUCUAUUAUCAUCCCCAUUCUACAGUUGAGAACACUGAGGCUUAUACUAUUAGCUAAGCAUCAGGUGAAAGAGUACACAGUAAGUUGGCAGAGCCUGGAAAAAAGCUUGCCUUUGCUCUUAACUGCCAUGCUCCCUGGAUUAAGGGUUACACAGACGCUUCUGUGGCUGAUGCUGGUAGAAGUAAAACAGAGAAAAAUUACAGAAGAUGAGAACCUUGUGAUUAACUCUGCUUCUCAGCUGCAACGUCUCAACCUCAUGAGUGUACCUUGUUCCCACCACAUGGUCCUCACUGUCUCAUCUAGCACUCACGUGUAGGAUCCCAAUGCGGCAGAAGCUACUUGUGAACCAGACACAAAAUCAUUUUGUUCCUGUAUCACCCUUCAGCGCCCUCUACUGACAAUGCUCUAGUGCCAGCUACAAAGGGAAAAUGUCUCUAAGGCUCAGAUUGGUUUUCAAAGAGCAAUCAGAAAGGGUAAAUUUGGAGCAGCAGUACACAAAUACUGGCAUGCUUGCUUAUCCUUUAGGACAAGGUCAGGGGACUGGGUGUAGCUGGAGAUGUUCUAAGAGGGAUGAGAGAGGAGAGUUAGAGGAGGAGGUUGGAUAUGUGCGAGGUAUAGUGAAUACUGUGUGGACUGUGGCAAAGGCUGUGUUAUAAUUAACCCUGUGGUACCUACCUACACCCAUCUGGUGCUCUUCUGGAAUGAGCAUUAGCCAAUUCUCUCUAAAAAAGGAGUUGUAGGCCCUUCUACCCCAGAAGACAGGAGUGGAGAGAGAGGUGGAGAAACAGGACCAAUUAUGAAAAAAGUCAACAGUUUUGAUGGCCUUCCAUGAUCAAGUGACAGCAUCUGGUGAAGGCAGGGAACUAGGAGGACAGAAAUGCUUUUGCUUUGUCUCUACUGAUGCUAUGUUGCUUUUGUCCACUGGCUCUGUUCUCUCUCCUCCAGCUGAGAAGGUGUGUGCUGUGAUAUCGUUAGAAAAAUGAGAUGGGAUUCGUCCAACUCAAAAAUGGACCAUCUUGCAAAAAUCACAUCUCUUACCUCCUGCCUUCCCCUUUAAUGCCUCCUUGGGAUCACAUGACAUGCUUAACCAUUCAGUUCUUCAUGUAAAAAUUUCCAACAUUUGCCGGGUCAGUAUUUCUGACUCUCUUAGCUCCCCGAGGGCAGACAUGUCCUUCCUAGUCCCAAUUUUCAAGGAAGUUCCUGCUAACUGAUUCUCGAUGCCAAUAAGGAACACAGAAAAUUAACAGAAUCUUUAGAAUAAGGGUUUAUUUCACUUAUUUUGCAAAUAAAGCAAAUAAGUAUAGCCCAUCCCACUUUCACUAAUUCUGUAUAAGAGAUUUCAAGUCUCCAUACAGAAUCUUACAGUACUUUUCCUUAAAAUCUGUCCCAGGCCAUCACGGACAUAUUCUUGAUUUUGAGGGCCUGGUCAGAGGAAAGAAAGAAGGAGGGGUAGCAUUCUUAGCAGCCCAGUGUAAUGGCUUUAGGACAAGCUUCAUUUGAAAUCUUGACCACCUGAAGGACCUUGACGUCUACUUGGCUCAGUUCUUUCCUUCAAAACUGGGAUCAAUAACAGUACUGACUUCAUAGUUAUUGUGUGGGCCUCACCUGGCACAUAAGCAGCACUCAAAUGUUAGCCAUUAUCAUUAUCAUCAUCUCCAAAGGAAUUCAGUGGGCUCAAAAACAGGAUGAAGGAGGGAAGAAACAAGAGGCAGAGAGCUGUAAAAAUUUCAAUGGAGCAGCAAUAACUCCAGGGCUCCCUAGAGCUCUGGUGUCCCUAGAGGCUAGACCAGGACUCUGGAUUUAUUUCAAGCGCAGAUGGGCUCAUUCAGUACCCCAGCCAGAUUUGAUAAAUGUUAUGUAUAUAACUUUGAUUUAAGUAUAAAAUCACACACAGUUGCUAUAUAUCACUUCAGAUGCACACACAUUGUUACAUCUAAAAAUAUUUUCUAUUGGUUUAUCAUUUUUGCAAUGUCACAAUAUUUUUUGUAAUAAAGUGGAUUCUGUUUCCAACAAAUA